AACGCACAUUGCGCCCCUUGGUAUUCCAUGGGGCAUGCCUGUUCGAGCGUCAUUUGUACUCUCAAGCUUUGCUUGGUGUUGGGUGUUUGUCUUUGCCUUGCCUAGACUUGCCCUAAAUACAUUGGCAGCCGAUAUUUUGGUUUGAAGCGCAGCACAAUUGCAAUUCAAGCUUACAAUAUGGGUACCCAUAAAGAAUUACAACACGUUUGACCUCGGAUCAGGUAGGGAUACCCGCUGAACUUAA
rnacentral:misc_RNA from 1 species